CGAGUCGCAAACUCGCGGGAGGUAAGCUAAUCUCUUAAAGCCGUUCUCAGUUCGGACUGUAGGCUGCAACUCGCCUACACGAAGUCGGAAUCGCUAGUAAUCGCGGAUCAGCAUGCUGCGGUGAAUACGUUCCCGGGCCUUGUACACACCGCCCGUCACACCAUGGGAGUCGGUAACACCCGAAGUCGGUAGCCUAACCGUAAGGAGGGCGCCGCCGAAGGUGGGAUUGAUGACUGGGGUGAAGUCGUAACAAGGUACC
rnacentral:rRNA from 1 species